rnacentral:rRNA from 1 species
UACGUAGGGUGCAAGCGUUUGUCCGGAAUUAUUGGGCGUAAAGAGCUCGUAGGCGGUCUGUCGCGUCUGCUGUGAAAACUCGGGGCUUAACCCCGGGCCUGCAGUGGGUACGGGCAGACUAGAGUGCGGUAGGGGAGACUGGAAUUCCUGGUGUAGCGGUGAAAUGCGCAGAUAUCAGGAGGAACACCGGUGGCGAAGGCGGCUCUCUGGGACGGUACUGACGCUGAGACGCGAAAGCGUGGGGAGCAAACAGG